GCUAGGUAACCAUUUGGAAAUGGACACCGAGCAACUACUAACUGCCAUCUUCCUUUUCUCUUUCUAUUAACAGAAAUCUUAAUUCCUAAAUCCAGUAUAACAUCAACGAGGAAGGGUGGCAGGGAAGAGACAGAGAUGGAGAGCUGAGAAGCAAAGACUUCCCCACAGCAACAACAAUAUCUACCACCUAGAUCUUGCUAUUUAGUACCAUUUUGCAAUAAAAGGAACCAGGGCUUCUUG